GGGGGACAUCAUGGCGGCGCACAUGAUAGCAUGAAGCACCGGUCACAGGGAACCUGGAGCCUAUCCCAGGGAGCAUUGGGCACAAGGAGGGGUUACACCAUGGACAGGGUGCCAAUCCAUCGCAGGUCACAAUCAUACACACACACACCGUUCAUACACUGUUCAUACACUAUGGACACUUUGGGCAUGCCAAUCAGUCUACCAUGCAUGUCUUUGGAAUGGGGAGGAAACCGGAGUACCUGGAGGAAACCCCCGCAGCACGGGGAGAACAUGCACACACAAGGCAGCAGGCAGGAAUCGAAUCCCCAAUGCUGAAGGUGUGAGGCGAAUGUGCUAACCACUAAGCCUAACAUAGGAUCUCUUCAUUGUGCUGGAGUCCUUUAAGGAUCCUCUUUACAAGCCUGUGCAUGAUGCAAACAGAAAUGGAUAUCUCUGAAAGCUGCCUUUUAAGCUAGCAGUCACUUCAGCUGCAUGCUCUGGUGAUAUGCUUACCUUGCAAGGAUUGAUGGCCAGAGGACUCUGGAGUGACCUUUGUUGCUGAACCCAGGUAUUCCUUACACAUGUCGUAUCACAAUUUUCUGAAUCAGUUGUUCAACCUUGCAGCUUUGCUUGAAGGCAAACCCCUGGAGCGUCCCUUUAUGUGUCUGGUAUGCAUCAUGUGGUACUAUUUAGAACGACUAUUAAGCCAACCGAUUCUCAGUCCAACUGUUCGUCUAUUAUGGAGGUACGCUGUGGCAGGCUGCCUUGUCUAAACAGAAUGUCAUCAGUAUUGCCUAUAUGUGGGUUGCACAACCUGGCCCUACUGUGACAUCCAUAGUGUCUCCUCCUCAUGAGCAUUACGUAGAGACCAAGAUGAGAAGCCUCCACUGAACCUACCUGGACUUUCUUCAAGUUCAACUAGAUUAAUAUUGCCCCUCAUAGUGACAGGACAUGGUGGUCGUCUCUGGACAGGUGUCAGUCCCCAUGCUAAUGUAGGUGAUUUUCACCCUCUGGUGGUUAGGAUGGAUGAAAUAGAAAGUGCUAGUUAAGUAUGGAACUUUUCUCUGAUCCCUGAUUAAUCGCCAGGACCAGCACUGACCCAGACAGUUCCAUACGUUAUACAGCCCACAAAUACUCCACAUGCCUAAGUGUCCUUGGGCAAGACACUGAACCCCAAGUUGCUCCCGAUGGCAAGUUAACACCUCGCAUGGCAGCUCUGCUACCAUUGGUGUGUGAGUGUGUGUGUGAAUGGGUGAAU
ensembl:lncRNA